rnacentral:lncRNA from 1 species
CAUAAUGGAAAUGCUUGUUCAAUUUUAGUUCUGAAAUGAUAAUUUAUCAGCAUUGACAUCGACACUGUGUCUACAGUGUGGUGUCAUGUUAUCAAUUGGCACAAAAAAUUGCACUAUAAUGAUGUAUUUCAUGCCUAAAUCAAAAUGCCAGCUAUCAUGUCUAGCUAUUGCCUGUUCUAUGGUUGCUUCCACUUUUACAUUUUAUUCAUGUCUUCCAAGAUGAGUUGCUGCCAGAAAACAUCAUGUUUGAUCAUGUGAUCCAUUCCCUAGGGCUUUUUGACUCUACCGUAAUAAUGAAACAACAGCAAAAAAAAGUCUCCGUUUACGAACUGAUUUGUUUUUGCGUUUAUUGCUCCCCACAUCAAACAUUCACUCAGUGGAGUGGGGAUCCCAUGGUCACCUCAUUUUUUAUACCAAAAAAAAAAUCAGAUUUUAUUAGUCAAAUCAUAAAAUCUAUUAUCAGGAUAUGUGUUGGGUGGAUGUCUGGCCAGGACACCACCUCCCAAAACCCUUUCAGUACCACGCGAUGC